UCAUUACAAGCCAAGAAGUGAAAAACAAUGUUAUCACCCUAUUCAAACAGUUGAAAGAGUAUUGUUUGGAGUUGUGUGGGGUUGAAUAAUUGUGUUUGUAAUAUUUCAGAAGUUGGAAGAAAAAGAAAAGAAAAAGAGAAAGAGAAAAUAGAAAAAAAAAUAGAAGGAUUUCAAUACAUGUCAAUACAUACUCCUUCCGAAAAAGAAAAAAA
rnacentral:lncRNA from 1 species